CCUAGUCACUGAGAAGUGAGGCCAAGAGCUGAUUCCGAUCAAGACAAGAGUUAUUUUAAAUGGAAUUUCCAGGGUCACACCACCAGGAAGUCUGAGGACAGAUUUUAACCCCGGCUCCUGGCUCCUGCUCCUGGUCUCUCUCUCGCUCACCUGGCCCAGCUGAUUCCCGUCCCAGCAAUUCUAGCCUCCGACCCAGAAGGCUGCUGAUAGCAGACCCAAUUUCUUCAGGAUCAAAAACCAGCUGUGGAUCAUGGGCAGAUAUGAAGAGGAAAUGGAUCUCAUUUUUGGUGAGAAAGCCUUGUAUUCUAUAUUACUUAGCUGACACAAUGUGUCAAUGAUUAUAAGCUAUAUUUUUUUGAAUUUAAA
rnacentral:lncRNA from 1 species